rnacentral:rRNA from 1 species
UACGUAGGCAGCGAGCGUUGUUCGGAAUUACUGGGCGUAAAGAGUGUGUAGGCGGUGCUCUAAGUUCGGUGUGAAAUCUCCCGGCUUAACUGGGAGGGUGCGCCGGAAACUGGAGUGCUCGAACGUGGGAGAGGAAAGCGGAAUUCCUGGUGUAGCGGUGAAAUGCGUAGAUAUCAGGAGGAACACCUGCGGUGUAGACGGCUUUCUGGACCAUUGCUGACGCUGAGACACGAAAGCGUGGGUAGCAAACAGG